AUUGUCUUAAAUGGGUGGGAUCAAUGAAAUCACAAACUUCCUUAUAAGUGAAAGAAGAAGGCAGAAGAAAGGCAACCUUUGAGGUGGUGACAUGAGAAAUUACUCAACAUCACUGACUUUUAAGAUACAAGAAUGAGGACCGAGUGCGGUGGCUCACGCCUAAUCCCAGCACUUUGGGAGGCUAGGGUGGGUUUAUCACGAGGUCAGGAGAUUGAGACCAUCCUGGCAAACAUGGCCAAACCCCAUCCCUACUAAAAAUACAAAAAAUUAACUGGACGUGGUGGCAAGUGUCUGUAGUCCAACCUGCUCAGGAACCUGAGGCAGAAGAAUCACUUGAACCUGGGAGGCAGAGGUUGCAGUGAGAUGAGAUCAUGCCACUGCACUCCAGCCUGGGUGACAGGAGGAGACUCCAUCUCAAAAAAAAAAAAAAAAAGAAAUAUAACAUCUAAGAAUGAGGACAUGUUCCAAAGAAUAAAGGUGGCCUCUGGAUGCUGAAAAAAAUCAAGUAAUAGAUUCUGCCAAAUAGCCCUCAGAAAGACUGCAGCCCUGCCCAAAACUUGAUGUUAGCCCUGUGAGUUUCAUUUAAGGCUUCCGAACUACGAGGAUUAACGGUCACUUUAUUGUAAGAUAUGAAGUUUGUGGUAAUUGGUUACAGCAGCAAGAGGAAGUUCAUAUUGUAAUUGUAUCAUGAAAAUGAGAACCAUAAUUUACAACUGCAUUUAAUACUGCACUUGGAUGUUUGAAAUCACGUACAUGGAAAUGAUCUCUAUGUGCAUGACGGAGGAUAGCAAAUUGAUGCCAAAAUAAUGCAAAUGCAAAUCUUACACUCAUUUCUAUGUAGGUUUCAUUUAAUCUUUGAAAUUAAAAUGAAAUUAAAAGACUGUGAUCUUUUGAUGAAAUUAGACUAAAAUGAACAAUAACAAAAUAAGAACUUACUUAUAUUCUUUAUAUGGUCAAUAAAGAAGUGAUAGUGGAAAAAAACAAGAUCAAAUGAAG
rnacentral:lncRNA from 1 species